GCCCCACAGCAGACCCGCCAAAUCAGAACCGCACAGGGCAGGCGCCUGUUAGCGCAGCCCCGCAGGUCAUCUUGAUGCGCAGGACCGUGGUUUAGUGGCCGAGCAGGAAGGUGGGCUUUGAGUGCAAGUGAGACCCCAGGGUUGUUGUGGCCACCACCAGAUGGACUUUGGACUUCUCAGCCACAGAAACUGGGAAGAAAGUCAAUGAAGUUGCCGAAAAACAAGGCCUUCCAUUUAAAGGCGUCAGAGAAAUCGCCCAGUGAAUGUGGUACUCAGCAAUCGAAGACUGACAGCUACAAAUAGCAGAAGUGCUUGGAGAUCACCUGAGGCAGAGAUGUUAGGGAGCCCAUGUCCUGUCUAUUCUAUUUCCCCAACGUGGUGGGGACAAGCCCCAAAUGGGGCUGAUUUCUUCAGGACUGUAUAUGUCCAUUUAGUCCCCUUUAAAGAAUAUGUUUGUCCUAGAGGGCUGGCCUAGCUCGGUUAGAAUGCAGCCUUAUAAUACCAAGGUGAUGGAUUCAGCUCCCUGUACUGGCCAGCCACCAAAUAAUAA